rfam:Ornithorhynchus anatinus chromosome X2, whole genome shotgun sequence.
AGCAGCGUGGCUCAGUGGAAAGAGCAUGGGAUUGGGAGUCAGAGGUCAUGGGUUCGAAUCCCGGCCCUGCCA